UGUGCUGUUAUGGUUGAACUUGGUCUCUGGAUCUGUGCCUUUCACCGUGAGAAGAUCCCUAGGGUAGUUAGUUGCUGGUCUAAGAGAAAGAAAGACACAUGGAGGCGACCUGACCCCACUCACAGCUUGGAAGCCAGCCCAGCCCAGCAGAGCCCAGCCUAGAUGAGCCGAAACAGACUGCCCACAGAUGCUUAAGAUGCUGUCAUCUGCCUGUGAUGCCUGGGACUACAGCAGCCAUUUUAGGACUAUGAGGGAGCAGCCUAAGAGGCUAUUCCAACAGUUGAAGAUGGCAGAGCAAAAGUGAGGAUGGAACUAGUGUCCCUGAAGACACAACUGAGCCUCUGAAUUAACCAGUCUGAAUUGGCCCCUGGACUUCUUGUUAUGUGAGAUAAAAAUUGUCAUUGUUUUAACCAC